CGCUUCGAACAGAUGCGGGGGAGAGGCGUUAGCGGAUGGAAGCAACAGUACUUUGAUACCGCCGCGGGUAGAUGCGUGGGGGCUCGUAUGUGACAUUGCACGUAGUGAAUGUGCAGGCUAGUGGUGCCUUGGGGAGACCACAGCGACACCACUACUUUGGAUGGCGAGCUAGGCCCAACGAGCCAGAACCCCAGCUACAACUUCCUGCGGUCUGGUAGGAGGCUGCUGUGGCCUACACUCUCCCCCCCUGGUUUUCAGUCCUCUGAAUUUCACUUCUGGGAUUUCAGUCUUGGAAUCUCAGUUCUGAUCAUCACACUUCCAAGUUCAACCUGUUAUAGACUGUCAUGCGCAUUGGAUUUAUAUCAAUCAUGAAAUAGCAAUUUUAUGGACAUUGUCUGCCGGGGGUUGGAGGAGGUUGCUGCACCAUUGUGCAGCUGAUAUUUUACAAGCUUGAAUUAUGUUUUAUCUUUUCCUGUCUGCAGACUUUGUAAAUAUUGGUAUUUGGUAAUUGCACUUUAUUUUCACUGUAAAUAACAACCGUAAUCACAAUA